GGAAAUCCCAUUUCCUGCCAUUUAGAUGUUGCCAGCUCCAAUACUUUGGCCACAUGAUGCGAAGAACUCAUUAGAAAAGACCCUGAUUCUGGGAAGGAUUGAAGGCGGGAGGAGAAGGGGACGACAGAGGAUGGGAUGGUUGGAUGGCAUCACUCACUCAAUGGACACGAAUUUGAGCAAGCUCUGGGAGAUGGUGAAGGACAGGGAAGGCUGGUGUGCUGCAGACCAUGGGGUUGCAAAGAGUCAGACUCAACUGAGCGACUGAACAGCAACAAGGAGGUGUGGAUGAGGGAGCGUCUUCAGCUCGGACAGGAAGGAAGGGUGUCAGCAGUUGGGGAAGGAAAAGGAACCUGAUCGGGAACCACUGUUUUCAUCAACGUUGCUCUGGAGCUCUGUCGGGGUAUUUUCCCUCCCUGAGUGACAACUGUAUUGAUGCACAAAGU
ensembl:lncRNA